UACGGGGGGAGCAAGCGUUGUUCGGAUUUACUGGGCGUAAAGGGCGCGUAGGCGGUCAGCACAAGUCAGUUGUGAAAUCUCCGGGCUUAACUCGGAAAGGUCAACUGAUACUGUGCGACUAGAGUGCAGAAGGGGCAACUGGAAUUCUCGGUGUAGCGGUGAAAUGCGUAGAUAUCGAGAGGAACACCAGUGGCGAAGGCGGCGACCUGGGCCAAUAUUGACGCUGAGGUGCGAAAGCGUGGGGAGCAAACAGG
rnacentral:rRNA from 1 species